rnacentral:lncRNA from 1 species
UCUAUACUUGGCCAAGAUUGAGACCUUUCAUUUUGAUAUUGUUCUUCCAUGUUUCUCCCUCUAACUAGAAAACUCUCUUUUUAAACCUUUGAGUUCCUCACUCUCUUUCAUCAUGGUCCCAUGGACAGAUCUCAUCACCUAUCAUCAAUAAUUUAUCUCUCCGACUAAAAUCAAAAGUGAAUUUUGUAAUUGUAAAAGUAAUAUCAUGAGUUUUUUCAGAAAUUGUGAAAUCAAGUUUUGGAGGAUAUAUUCAUGGGGUAUUUGAAAUCAACUUUUGAUUUUUGUUGAAGAAUUCGAUGUAAUUACAAAGUUUUUGGCAGAUUUUUGAAGGUUUAUAUUUUUCUAUCUAAAUUAGGUAUUAUGCGACUUUGGUGGAACGGCUUUUAUACUACACCUAGCUGGUAGCUAGUUGCUGGUGGAUCAGUGUUGGAGGCAAAAUAACUGUUAUACUGUAGAUGAUUGAUGAUGGUAGUCGUAGGUAAUGGUGUUCAUGUAGGUGAGAAUGGUGAAGGUAGGGGAAGAAGAAGACCGAUGAAUGAGAUUGUUGAAUUUUAUGUUUGUAAAUUAGUUUAAUAGGAUAAUUAUAAAAAUUAAAAAUUUAAUGGCGUCAGAUAAAAUGGGAUCCUUAGUUUUGCCUUAUUUUUAGGAGUCAAAGUCUGAAAAUUCCAAACAUCAUUAACAACCUUACUGUUAACCAAAACUCCCAGAAUGUUAAUAGAGAGAUAAAGAUGCG